AACUAUAAGCUUUGAAAAUUAUUGAGUUGAAUGUCGUUUUUUUUGUUUGAAAAUUUGUGCGUUAAUUGUGCUCACUCUUUGUUUUUUCUUUGCAGUAAAACACUUCGCAUGAGCCACAAGGUUACUGAAAUUAUAGAUUUGAAAUUGUUAGUGUUUUUCUUUUCUUUUCUUUUUUUUUUUUUUUUUUUUGUUUUUUGUUUUUUUAAUUAUAACCUUUGUGAAGUUAUUGAUUUGAAGAAUGUUGUGUUCGAAUGAAAAUUUUGAUUUGAAUUAUUAGAUAAGCAUGGAGUAUGUAGGAAUUCAACCCAAAGCUAGCCAAAAACUGCCUCGCCGGGCUGAGUCUGGUGCACCGGGAAGUGGUUCUGAAUGACUUUCUGAUGCCCUUGCCUUUACAGGGAUGACGAGUCUACACACAGGCACGAAGGCCGAGUCGACUCACCAAUGACUCUACGAGUUCGAAAAUCUGUGAAGGUUGGAGCACCAGGAACGUGAUACUCAG